GAUGAAGAACGUAGCGAAAUGCGAUAAGUAGUGUGAAUUGCAGAAUUCAGUGAAUCAUCGAAUCUUUGAACGCACAUUGCGCCCUUCGGUAUUCCGUUGGGCAUGCCUGUUCGAGCGUCAUUUAAACCUUCAAGCUAUGCUUGGUGUUGGGUGUUUGUUCCGCCUCUGCGCGUGGACUCGCCUCAAAUUCAUUGGCAGCCGGUAUGUUGGCUUCGUGCGCAGCACAUUGCAAGCGACUUCAACAAACCUCCUUCCAUAAGCCUUUUUUUUACUUUGACCUCGGAUCAGGUAGGGAUACCCGCUGAACUUAAGCAUAUCAAAAGCGGAGGA
rnacentral:misc_RNA from 1 species